GAUGAACGCUGGCGGCGUGCCUAAUACAUGCAAGUCGAACGCUGGAAAUCUAGCUUGCUAGAUUGAAGGAGUGGCGAAAGGGUGAGUAAUACAUAAGCAACCUACCCACGAAGACUGGGAUAAUCUCUGGAAACGGGGACUAAUACCGGAUAGGUAAUCGGAAGGCAUCUUCUGAUUAUUAAAGGUUAAAAACACUGGUGGAUGGGCUUAUGGCGCAUUAGUUAGUUGGUGAGGUAACGGCCCACCAAGACGAUGAUGCGUAGCCGGCCUGAGAGGGUGAACGGCGACAUGGGGACGGGGACACGACCCAGACUGCUACGGGAGGCAGCAGUAGGGAAGUUUGGGCAGUGGGGGAAACCCUGACCGGGCAACGCCGCGUGAGUGAUGACGGCCUUCGGGUUGUAAAGCUCUGUUGUAAGGGAAGAACGGUAGAUAGAGAAUAUCUAAAUGACGGUACCUUACCAGAAAGCCACGGCUAACUACGUG
rnacentral:rRNA from 1 species